rnacentral:pre_miRNA from 1 species
CAUAUACUCCCUCCGUCCCAAAAUUCUUGUCUUAGAUUCGUCUAGAUACGGAUGUAUCUAAUACUAAAACGUGACUUGAUACAUCUGUAUUUAGACAAAUCUACGACAAGAAUUUUGGGACGGAGGGAGUAUAUA